rnacentral:lncRNA from 1 species
AGAGGCAUAACGUACAUCAUAAUGCUGCAUCUUGUUGACGCUUCAAUGCUCACAAUUCAAAGGUGAUUUCUGAAGCACUUUGUUACACUGGGGACAGCUCCUAAAUCCUCCCACUCUUUUUUUGCCUCACCUUGGAGUCUUGGGCUCUGUUGAUCACUGACUCUGCCAGGUCUUUCAGCAGGCAAGACAGCUCAGUUAAAUUGAGUUUGGACUCCACUGUAGUGCAUGCAUGAGACAGCACCCCCAAUCCCCAACACCC